CCAUUGCACUAGAGUCUAGAGUAGAUUCCUUUGCAGUUCUACGCAGUGAAAUGUCUUUGUUUUGAAUACCCCCCCUCCCCUCCCAAUGGUGAAGGUGUCUGGGUAAAUGGGUCAAAAAGUGGUGGAGAAUUGGGUUAGAAAGAGGUGAAGGUGAAGAUCAAUGGAGGCUUUAGGGCUGGCUGUGUGUUUUGCUGGGUUUGUGUGACUGUGCCCAGAGGGCGGAGUUCCUGCACAUUCCUACCUCACCGGAGAACCUGCCCUCAACUCCACUGCAGCUACUCCAGAGAGAUGGGACCCUCCAGAAGAAACCUGCCCAGCAAUCCCAGCAAGCCUUCCCGCCAGAAGGAUUCCAGGAGAAACUGCCUCUACCUGCAAGAAAGACGCACGUUGGCACUUGGGGAUAGGAGUCCUCCGUCGGCACCUGGGAGGUAGGAACACGUGAACGGAGCCCUUCCCCUUCAGGCCGCUCCCGGCAGCUCUCCCUUAACGGUGGAGGAGGAAUGGGGUUUGCUGCGACCGGCCCGCGGGGAAGACCUUACCGAGCUCCCCUUUAACUUGGCGGCCCUCCAAGCUAAGUGUUAGCCCAGUGCUGUUGGUUAGUGGAAGGAAGAGAACCUCUCUUCGUCUCCCCCCGUCCCCACAUCCCCACCUUGCUUGCUCUGCUUUUACUCAGAAUUUUUCUGAUCGCAAGUAUUUAAUAUUAGGUAGCCUGCUAAAUUAAUCAUAUCCAAGAGGAGAUAAAUAUCUGCCAAAAAAAUCUGGCUGAAGCCUGGCUGUAGAGUAAAAAAAAUGAGAAAUUCUUUCUCAGCCUUAGAAAACAGCUUAAAAGAAAGAGAGAGAGAGAGAGAGAGAGAGAAGUUGCAUUCUCAUAAAAAAAUAAACAUAACCUCAUUGUGAAGCAUGAUAUGUCCCAAAAGCAUGCAAUAUUUUGCAAAUUAAAUACUGAUAAUAUUCACUCAUUACAAAAUUGUUCUUUUGAAGCAAAAAUCUUGGUGAUGCUAUACUAGAAGAUGCGUUUCUUCUCCUUUUAUGCUCCUUGCACACUCAAACAUUCUGGCAUCCCCACACCAGUAUAUUUCCAAGUGGGGAUGACGGCAGUGAUUAGACUUUUCACUAGACCCCAAACGAAACAAAGCUGGGACAGAUUAUUAGAGCAGUCUAUGGGGGGAUACGGCUAAGCACAUCACAUAAUCAUCUAUAUAUUUAGUGCUAUGGCUUAUAGGUAACUUUGAAAUACACUAGCGAUAAGUAAAUCUCCUUUUAGGUUUCUGAACUGCUCUUCUGAUGGCUAGUGCAUCUAGGAAACUUAAGAUGCAGUCUAGAUUUUGUAUCACACUCACAGUGGUACAAAAUGGAAAGGGUAUUUUUAUUAGCAUUUUGUAUACCCACAUUCAUAGUGGUCUAUGAGAAAACAGAUGAGAAUUAUGCAAAUAAAAAUGGCAUUGUUGUUUUAUCAAUGAACUUUCCCCACUAUCUCUCUCUCUCGCGCGCUUUCUUUCUCUCUCUAUAUAUACGUGUGUGUAUAUGCAUGUAUAUAUUUGUCUAGUCCUUUCUGACUGUGAAGGUGUCCUCUAGCAUGAAUCAGAAAAAGCCGCUCUGCAUAUUCUCUUUCUUUCUUGCUUAUUUAUUUUGUUUGAGCAAAGCUGUUUGUUGUGCUGGGAAGCAUAAGCUGCCUUUGGUUAUGCCAUCACUAUAAUUUGCGUUUAGAUGGAAGGGUAGCCCUAUUUUCAUUAUUAAAUCAGUAAAGGUAAAAGUACUAAUAAUUAAAUACAGAUCUCUGAUUGCAGGUUGGAACAGCAAAAUCGAUUGUCUCUUCAUCAAUAAGACAAGUGUUGAGUAGCUUGCUAUUGAUUAGUAUGUUUAUUUAUGCAGAUCUUUAGGUAUUUUCUUACAUAUUUCAAGUUCUUUGUCUGCUAAUUAUUUUACCAGAUUGGUUUGAAAGAAAGAGCUUAGACUGGGAAACACAGUUGACAGAUCCAUUCUUAGCUAACCUGAUAGUGGAUUAUUGCAAUCCAGUAAGUUUAACAAAUUACUUAUACGUGCUUGCCUUUCGAGCAAUUAGGAAGCCGUUUCAGAUUAAAAUCCCUUGUUGCAUUCGGGGUCGGUUCAUUUAAAUAAAGGGGCAUUAUGUUUAGAUAUUUUCCAAAUGAAAAAUAGGUUUCUGGAUCCACAGAGGCUGAACAGGAUUUGAUGCGUCCUUCGCCUUCCGGGCCCUUGGCUUCCGUUGUUCUUGUAAAACACCUUCCCAGCAACAGAGUGGGCCCUGGGGUUUCCUCAUAGAUGGAAUGUAAUCUCCACAGAUGCAGAUCACUGGAGGCAAACAUCGAAUUAAUUGGAUCUCAGUGAAUGAGGUUGGUAUCUUUGUAUUGAACUAAGGUUAUCUUUGUCAUAGUGUUCUGGUAUUUAAAAGACAUUUUAGCAGUUUCUAGUAAAGGUAAAUCCAGAAAACAUAUAUAAUAAAAAUAAAAGGGAGUUGAAACAUUAUAUUCUCCAAAUCCAAGUUAUAUUACUCUUGUGUAGGGAGAUAACAGUCUGUGGGUCUGUAAUAGUCUAUGCAGAAACUAUAAAUUCAGAAGAAAAAUAAAAAAUUUUGGAGGUAUUUUUUAAUUUUUAAAAACUUCAUAUCAGAAUAGCAAGGUCUGUUUCCUGUACAACUAGAGGACCUUGCACUAUUUUGAAAAUGCAAACCCCACUCUUUUAUGUCCCUUGAAUAUUUCUUAAGGUUAGUAAUGACGCAGAUUCCUAAUGUUUAUUGUUGCUGAAGACUUUCACACCGACUACAGGUCUGCCUCUUUCUAUGAAGAUUCAUUUUUAGGUGUGUCCUCCCUUUCUUUGAAAAUGCCCGUUAGAGCAAAGUGAGGUAUCUGUGGAGGAAGAAGGUGACGUGACGAGAAAAGCCUGACAGUCAAAGCGGGAACUGUCCGGGAGAAGGAUCCGUGAUGAAUGAGGUCUGCGAAGUCCUGAUGCAAAAGCAGAGCAGGACAGUGUGUUGGCAAACCCAAAUACCGGUUUUUGUUCUCUUGAAUCAAAAAGGAAAAUGGGGUGGUGAAGGUGGGGUGGGGGAGGGGAGACCCUGGGCAGUGGGGCAGUGGGGAUUGGAAGGGAGAGAUCGGAGAAGUGGCUGUCUGGAGUGUUAACACGAGACCAUCGUGUCCUCGGGAGAAGGAGAGGCUGCGUUGUCAAAUGGGCUAGAGCCCUGACGAGAGCCAGAGGUGCCAUCAGAGCGCUUCAAGAUGCUGCCGUGAAAUCUGGAUCCUGGUCGAUUCAGGGAUCCGAGGGACAGUACUUCAUAAAAUAAUCGGUCCCGAAAUCUCCCGGGCAGGUGUCCGAGGUUAAGUCAGGCUCUUCGAUAAUCGCCGAACAAUCAUAGGGAACAAAAUCUACCCUGGGGCAGGAGAUAGGAUGGGGGAGGCGGGUGCGAAGUGGGAGAGACAGGACGACACGGACUAAGACCCACUAAAAUGGCCAACAUUAUUUCAUUCCUUGGGUAACUUCGUGCAGAUCUGGAGCUUCUUCCUCGGACUUGGCGGGAAAGGCUGUCUUGGACAAGCCUGUAACUUCUUGCAAUGUUUUUGACCGUGCACUGUAUUGCCAUAAUGCCAAUAAACGCUUUAAACGCGUCUUA